UGAAUACGAGACGCUACGGUGUCGAAGCAGUCUAUGUCAUACUUCCAAGAAAAGCUCGCAAUGUCAUAAACAAAUAAUGCCUGUACCAUAACCGACACAGGUGGGUAGGUAGAGUAUACUAAGGGGCGCGAGAUAACUCUCUCUAAGGAACUCGGCAAAAUGACUCCGUAACUUCGGGAGAAGGAGUGCCUUAUUUAUAAGGUUGCAAUAACAAGAUCCAAGCAACUGUUUAUCAAAAACACAGGUCUCCGCUAAGUCGUAAGACGAUGUAUGGGGGCUGACGCCUGCCCAGUGCCAGAAGGUUAAAGAAGUUGGUUAGCAUUCGCGAAGCUGAUAACUGAAGCCCUGGUGAACGGCGGCCGUAACUAUAACGGUCCUAAGGUAGCGAAAUUCCUUGUCGGGUAAGUUCCGACCCGCACGAAAGGCGUAAUGAUUUGGAUACUGUCUCGGAGAGGGGCUCGGUGAAAUAGACUUGUCUGUGAAGAUGCGGACUACCUGCACCUGGACAGAAAGACCCUAUGAAGCUUUACUGUAACUUGAAAUUGAAAUUGGACUUUAUUUGCGCAGCAUAGGUGGGAGGCGUUGAGAGUAUUCUUGGGGGAAUAUUGGAGCCAUCAGUGAGAUACCACUCUUGUAAUGUUAGAUUUCUAACUUUGGAUCAUUAUCUGGUCAAAGAACAGUUUCAGGCGGGCAGUUUGACUGGGGCGGUCGCCUCCCAAAUGGUAACGGAGGCGUACAAAGGUUUCCUCUGAACGGGUAGAAAUCGUAUCUAGAGUGUAAAGGCAUAAGGAAGCUUGACUGUGAGACCUACAAGUCGAGCAGGGACGAAAGUCGGUCUUAGUGAUCUGACGGUGCUGAGUGGAAAGGCCGUCACUCAACGGAUAAAAGUUACUCUAAGGAUAACAGGCUGAUCUCCCCCAAGAGUUCACAUCGACGGGGAGGUUUGGCACCUCGAUGUCGGCUCAUCGCAUCCUGGGGCGGUAGUACGUCCCAAGGGUUGGGCUGUUCGCCCAUGAAAGCGGUACGCGAGCUGGGUUCAGAACGUCGUGAGACAGUUCGGUCCAUAUCCGGUGUAGGCGUUAGAAUAUUGAGAGGAGCCUUCUUUAGUACGAGAGGACCGAGAAGGACAUACCUCUGGUGUACCAGUUAUCGUGCCAACGGUAAACGCUGGGUAGCUAUGUAUGGAGAGGAUAACCGCUGAAAGCAUCUAAGUGGGAAGCCCACCUCAAGAUAAG
rnacentral:rRNA from 1 species